ensembl:lncRNA PURPL p53 upregulated regulator of p53 levels
GUGGUGACCUGGGAAUCAAUGUGUGAGGUGGUGCUAUGUAGCAGGAACCCCUCUUGCUUUGCAAAUAGUUUUUUGUUUGUUUUCCUUUUUGCCCAAUAGAGCCCUGCUCUACUGACCCUUCAAUGUGCCCGUGUGCCUAAAUAUUCCUGGUCGUGUGAAAAGAACCCAGGUAUUAGCUGAACUAAGGAGCACAAUUCUGCAACAUUUUGGCACCCAAACACGGGGCUUGAGAAAUGAAUGCAAUUGGAGAAACUGGUUGUUUUACCAGGCGUUGAUUGGAAAUGUGUGCUUCCCUUUAAGCAGUCAAGCUCAACUUGCAGAACUGAUGGGAACCCCUUGGGAAAACUGGCCUCAAAUGUUUGUCUACACAGUCCACAUACAGGGUUCUUAACCUGCGAUUGAAACUCCCACAACUUUGGCAGACCAACUCCUCAGAAAACAUUAUUCUUUGACAUCAAUAUGUUUUGCACAAAAUUGAAUGGCAAGUGAAAGGCAUCAAAUGGAGCUGUCAUUUAAAUGUGCUUGCCAACUAGCUUGUUUAUCAAAACAUUCCAGACCCUUUCAAAUUCUCAUUUACAUUGUUUCUUGUUUACCACACCCAUAAAUUUGUAUUACCAGCAUAUUUAACUAUCCGGCUAUUUUGGAGAUUGAAAAAAGAAGACCUGAUUUAUCAUGUGCAAUAUCUCACACAUCUGUCAUUUCUAUUCUACCGCAAUUCGAUGGAGUCUUGUUCUGUGGUCCAGGCUAGAGGGCAGUGGCAUGAUCUCGGCUCACUACAAGCUCUGCCUCCCGGGUUCACGCCAUUCUCCUGCCUCAGCCUCCUGAGUAGCUGGGACUACAGGCGCCCGCCACCACGCCUGGCUAAUUUUUUGUAUAUUUACUAGAGAUGGCUAGUGUUAGCCAAGAUGGUCUCGAUCUCCUGACCUCGUGAUCUGCCCACCUCAGCCUGCCAAAGUGCUGGGAUUACUGGCGUGAGCCACCGUGCCUGGCCAGCAUCCUCUAAUUAUUAUUCAUAGUUUGUGAAUUUAGGCCUACGUGAAUAAUAAUAUAAUAUUUACUAUGAUGUUACUAUCUACCAACCUUAUUUUUCUUUUCUAUAAAAUAGGAGCCAAAAUAAUAUUUAUGUCAUACCUUAUGAAGUUAAAAUAAAAUAUAACGAAUGAGGGGCUUAACAA